CCCUUAGAUGUUCUGGGCCGCACGCGCGCUACACUGAUGCAUUCAACGAGCCUAUCCUUGACCGACAGGUCCGGGUAAUCUUUGAAUCUGCAUCGUGACGGGGAUAGAUUGUUGCAAUUAUUAAUCUUCAACGAGGAAUGCCUAGUAGGCGCAAGUCAUCAGCUUGCGUCGAUUACGUCCCUGCCCUUUGUACACACCGCCCGUCGCUCCUACCGAUUGGGUGUGCUGGUGAAAUGUUCGGAUCGGCCGUUUGUCGCGGUUUCCGCGUCAUGUGGCUGAGAAGUUCAUUAAACCCUCCCACCUAGAGGAAGGAGAAGUCGUAACA
rnacentral:rRNA from 1 species